UGCGGGUGUAGUUCAGUGGUAGAACGCUAUCCUUCCAAGUUAGAUGUCGUCGGUUCGAGUCCGAUCACCCGCU
rnacentral:tRNA from 1 species